GGGUCUCUACCCUUGACUGCCAUGUGUUCCAUGUUCCUGCAGAGCUAGAUGGUCUCCUCCCAGUGAUAUGUGCCAGGAAAACAUCCAAAGGGAAGCCCAAAAAGGCAUCCUGAACAUAUGCCGAAGAGACGCAGCAGGAGUUCUUUUGGAGUGGCAGUCCAUGGCUUUUAAGGCAGAAACUGACAACCUCUAAGCCUGUGGUUUGGACCGUUAAGAAGUGGACUGAUUAAUCAAAACAGAUGCAACAAAGG